UGAACGCUGGCGGCGUGCCUAACACAUGCAAGUCGAACGGUAACAGGCGGUAACUUCGGUUACUGUGCUGACGAGUGGCAAACGGGUGAGUAACGCGUGGGCAACCUACCUUCGAGCGGGGGACAACAUCGCGAAAGCGGUGCUAAUACCGCAUAAUAUAUGGACACUGAUGGUGACCAUAUCAAAGUUGGGGAUUUUCGAACCUGACACUUGAAGAGGGGCUCGCGUUGGAUUAGCUGGUUGGUGGGGUAACGGCCUACCAAGGCGACAAUCUAUAGCCGGCCUGAGAGGGUGAUCGGCCACACUGGAACUGAGACACGGUCCAGACUCCUACGGGAGGCAGCAGUGGGGAAUUUUGCGCAAUGGGGGAAACCCUGACGCAGCAACGCCGCGUGGGUGAAGAAGCAUCUUGGUGUGUAAAGCCCUGUCGAAGGGGACUAAGGUCUAUUGAUUAAGAGUUGAUAGAUUUGAAUGUACCCUUAGAGGAAGCCCCGGCUAACUCC
rnacentral:rRNA from 1 species